rnacentral:rRNA from 1 species
GAGUUUGAUCCUGGCUCAGGACGAACGCUGGCGGCGCGCCUAACACAUGCAAGUCGAACGAGCGAGAGAGAGCUUGCUUUCUCGAGCGAGUGGCGAACGGGUGAGUAACGCGUGAGGAACCUGCCUCAAAGAGGGGGACAACAGUUGGAAACGACUGCUAAUACCGCAUAAGCCCACGGGUCGGCAUCGACCAGAGGGAAAAGGAGCAAUCCGCUUUGAGAUGGCCUCGCGUCCGAUUAGCUAGUUGGUGAGGUAAUGGCCCACCAAGGCGACGAUCGGUAGCCGGACUGAGAGGUUGAACGGCCACAUUGGGACUGAGACACGGCCCAGACUCCUACGGGAGGCAGCAGUGGGGAAUAUUGCACAAUGGGGGAAACCCUGAUGCAGCGACGCCGCGUGAGCGAAGAAGUAUUUCGGUAUGUAAAGCUCUAUCAGCAGGGAAGAUAAUGACGGUACCUGACUAAGAAGCACCGGCUAAAUACGUGCCAGCCGCCGCGGUAAUAC